AACAAGGAUUCCCUUAGUAACGGCGAGCGAAAAGGGAAUAGCCCAGCGCCGAAUCUUGUGUCCCCCGGAUGCAAAGAAAUGUGGCGUUUGGGACGAGACAUUGCCUGUGCAUAAUAGUUAACUAAGUCCCUCUUGAACGGGGCCAUAGCCCAUGGAGGGUGCUAGGCCCGUAUGUUAACUUUGUUGUGCAGUGCGUCUCGUCCGUAGAGUCGGGUUGCUUGGGAGUGCAGCCCAAAUACGGUGGUAAACUCCAUCUAAGGCUAAAUAUGACCACGAGACCGAUAGCGAACAAGUACCGUGAGGGAAAGUUGAAAAGAGAGUUCAAUAGUACGUGAAACCUCUCGGGGGUAAGCGGGCAGAACUUGCAAGUAUUGGUGAGAAUAUUCAGGCUUAGUGUGUCGGUGACUGGGAGUGCUUAUUUCAAGUUGCCCGUUCGCGGGUUGACUGGUGUGUGCUUCUUGGAUUGCUGACGAUGCGCCGCAUUUAUUCUCAUCAUCGGGUUGCAUGUGAUUGAGAUGUUGUAGUUUAGGUGCUGGGUAACUGUGAAGCCUUGUUGUUUCAAGUCCUGGUUUCCAACUACUGCUGCGAUCAUUUCACAAUAUCUGAACAGGCGUUUAGGCGCGGUCAAAUUUUUGUACGAGUUGUGUGCGUAUGGCAUGUGGACGGGCAACCGUAGCACGUUGUACGAGGCUGAUUGUCGGUAUGAAUUUGUUGGCUCUGUUCAGUGGAAUGCAUGGUCAGAGCGAAGUCAGGGGAAACUCUGAUGGAGGUUCGUAGCGAUUCUGACGUGCAAAUCGAUCGUCGGAACUGGGUAUAGGGGCGAAAGACUAAUCGAACCAUCUAGUAGCUGGUUCCCUCCGAAGUUUCCCUCAGGAUAGCUGGCGCUUGAUUAAAUCAGUCUCAUCCGGUAAAGCGAAUGAUUAGAGGCCUUGGGGCCGAAACGACCUCAACCUAUUCUCAAACUUUAAAUGGGUGAGAAGUCAGGCUUGCUUAAUCGAAGCUCUGACAAUGGAUGGUGAGUGCCAAGUGGGCCACUCUUGGUAAGCAGGACUGGCGCUGUGGGAUGAACCAAACGUUGGGUUAAGGCGCCCGAAUCGACGCUCAUCAGAUCCCAUAAAAGGCGUUGGUUGCUUAAGACAGC
rnacentral:rRNA from 1 species